AUCGUUUUUUCGUUAGCAACGGUUUAUUGUUGCUUACAGUAUACAUUGAAUUGCCUAAAACCAGUAUCUUACUAGUAUUAAUAAUAUCUUUAUUUUAUGCCUAUAACAGUGGUUGCACCCGUCUCCAUUAUUCUAGGAUGUCUUUUUAAUACUUAUUUUGUUAUAAUAUAAAGAGACGACGCGUUUUUCGUUGCUACCACUACCGCUAACUGUAAAAACUACUGGACUAAUAUAUAAUGCCUAUA